UACGGGGGGGGCAAGCGUUGUCCGGAAUUACUGGGCGUAAAGCGCGUGUAGGUGGUGGGACAAGUCUGCUGUGAAAGCGCCUGGCUUAACCGGGCGAGGUCGGCGGAAACUGUUCGACUCGAGGACGGUAGAGGGGGGUGGAAUUCCCGGUGUAGUGGUGAAAUGCGUAGAGAUCGGGAGGAACACCGGUGGCGAAGGCGGAUCUCUGGGCCUUACCUGACGCUGAGGCGCGAAAGCUAGGGGAGCAAACAGGG
rnacentral:rRNA from 1 species